rnacentral:lncRNA from 1 species
CCCCUUUACUUCCAUGCUUUCACCACUCUCAAUACGAUUACACUUACCCACUACCCUCACUUGCACACCUCAAAAUAUAUAAACCCACAAAAAUACCACAUACACACACUUCUAUACAUCUGUGUACAUCGAUAUAUUCUCUUGUCCAUCCGUAUACAUCUAUAUAUGCACAUGCCACUCCUCCUCCCUUCUUUGCUCCUUCCGUGGAACCACAUUACCACCUGGUCCCUAACCUUGUCACUAGUUUAUCUCUUCGAGUCACUUUUUCUUUUUCACUCUCCUCUAUUAUUUUCCUUCUGAUUGUUUUUUAAAUAUUUAUAUUGCCGUGCAAAUGAAUACGAAACUGUGAGCCACUAGCUAACCCCUAAUGCUGUGUGUGGAACAAGUCAUUUAAUUACUUCUUUGCCAACUAUAUUUCAUUGGACAAAUUAUUUUUGCUGACGUUAGAUAUUUCUGUAUAAACGUCAUUAAAUAUAAAUGAAUUUCAGAAACUGACCCAUCUAAAUUCAGUUUAUUCACACCUUAUGGAAUCAUAUCAAGUAAGUAUUCUUAAUAUAUCUAACACAAACGCAUCAAUGACAUUUUCAGUGUUUAAAAUCGUUUUUAUAUUUGAAUUAUUACAAUAUUUAAUGAUCUUUAAGUGAUAAGGCUGCAAUCAUUAUAUAUAUAUAUAUAUAUACCUUUCUAUAUCUAUAUCUAUAUAUAUAUAUAUAUAUAUAUCAGGAAAUUAUAAUUCAGUGUCGAACUUGUUGAUCAUUUGCAGGUGCGACAACACAAUGUUCAUUGAACUAAUAGUAUUGAUAAUUGAGGGCAUUCCAGUCUUAGAAAUACAAAGAGGUGAAUGAGCUUUUUGCUCUGUUUUGGACAUAGGUUUCUUCCUCGUUGUUAAUACAUUUCUUGCCAAUAGUCUUAGAAAUUUAUUAUUUAUUUCCAUACAAUUUUACAUAUUUACACACGUCUGUGGUUGUCGACGAUACCAUUAUCAUUUAACGUCUAUACACAGGAGUACAUAACUCACACGCACAAAUAUAUUUGUGUUUAGAUAUUCCUUUUUCUUUUGGUUUCUGGAAGAAUUUGUCUAAUGAAUCGAACCCAGUUUUUUUUUAAAGCCUGGUAACUUAUUCUAUUCUAUUAAUUUGCCGAACAGCUAGAUUACGGGGACGUAAACACACCGGUUGUCAAACGGGGUGGUGCAGACAUACAGAGUCACGCACACAUCUGUAUGUAUGUAUGUAUGUGUGUGUAUAUAUAUAUAUAUAUAUAUGGCGAUGCUUCGGUAUAUGUACACACGUGACUUUGUUUACAUUUCUGAAACCCUUUUCUGCCACCCCUAACCCUAACACCCCAUAUAUAAAAAAAAACAACACUUUUUUGAAAUGUAUCCGGUACUUACACCGGUACAUAUAUAUAUACAUAUAUCACGUGAUCAUGUGACCGACCAGGCUAUCAGAUGUUGCUACACAUCGCUGGUCACAAUGCGCUUCGCAUUGUUUUAACCUUCAAAUGACGCCACCCUGCUGGCUAUGCUACUUGAAGCUUUUGUGGAAGACAACUGGAGGUUCCUACAGGACAACCUGUUGGGGGCUACUGACCAGAACUGUGGCUGGUACAAAGUCCCAUCUUGACCUAAGGUAACAUGGUGGUGGAACAAUGUAAAUAAACCUUAGUGCUUGGCUUUCGUAGAUAUGGAGAAAGUCUUUGACAGAGUCCUCCAAUCACUUAUCUGGUGGUCAAUGUGGAAACUAGGGAUAGAUGAGUGGUUGUUGAGAGCUGUACAAGCCCAGUAUAGGGAUACUAUCAGUAAGGUGAGGGUUGGCAACAAGUACAGUGAAGAAUCAGGGGUUCACCAAGGAUCAGUCCUCAGCUCCCUCUUCUUCAUCAUAGUCUUCCAGGCAAUAACAGAGGAAUUUAAGACAGGAUGCCCCUGGGAGCUCUUCUUUGCUGAUGACUUUACUCUAAUAGCUGAGUGACUACAAGAACUAGAGAAGUUUCAGGUGUAAAAGCAAGGUCUAGAAUCGAAGGGCCUUAGAGUCAAUCUAACAAAAACCAAAGUCUUAGUAAGUAGAAAGGCAGACAAACCACAAAUUCCUUCAGGUAGAUGGCCCUGCUCAAUCUAUAGAAAAGGCAUAGGUAGAAACUCCAUAAGAUGUACCCAGUGUAAGCUAUGGACGCAUAAGAGGUGCUGCAAUAUCAAAGGAAGAUUAUUUGGGAAGAUAGUUUUUGUGUGUGGAAGAUGCACAGGGGCAAUAAACACCAAAGAUGUACAGAAAAUAGAUUCUAUAACUUGCCAGGGGGAAAAAAAUAGUAGUAGUUGAUAGUUCCAUUACCUAGGUAACCAAGUCUGUAGCAGGGUUGAGAGUGUAGCUGCUUUAAUAAGAAUAACCUGGGCAGAGUUCAGAGAGCUCCUACCUCUGCUAGUAACAAAGGACCACUCAUUUACAGCUAAGAACUUUAUAGCGGCAACCACUAGACAGAACACACCCAAAGGAAAACCUACAUGUUGGCUUCCUCACUAAAACAGUUGUAUCAGAUUUUAAUGUAAAAAGAAAAGGAAAAAAAUUGUUGGGUGUGCACACAUACAUACUGAUACACAUCGCAAUUUUUUCACAAUUCAACUUACUUUUUGUAGAUAUAUGUGUAAUGUCUAUCUGUCUGCAUGCAUGAAUGUGCAUCCUCACAUAAUUAUAUGGAGUCCAGGAAAAAAGUCACCAUUUUUUCAUGAUCUCAAUUUACUUAAGAAAUUGAAUAAAAAACUUUUUCCUAUAUAUAUAAAAAUUGUGUAUCAGUCAUGUAUUAUCAGUUAAUAACUGAUUUAAUAUAUAUUUUUUGUUUUAUUAUUUCAAUUGCUUAUAGUAAUGAAAUAAAAUGUGACUUUGCUUUGAGAGUCUUUUUCCAGCUACCGAAUUAAUGCUAAAUUUUUAUUGUUUUUUCUAGUGACCAAUGAAGAUUCAUUUUGAAUGAAAUAUAAGCCAAAGAAGUGUUUAGUCGUAGUGUAACAUGACUGAAUACACCUGUGAUUGAUUAAAGCUCUUUUAGUUGUGACUAUCCUAUAUAUUUAUAUCCAGAACUAUGUUAACACAUGUAUCCUUCCUUUUUUAUGAUGAUGGAUUUUUGGUGGGGAGGGAUUGCUUACUAUAGAGGUAUGUGAUUUUUAUUUUGCUGGGUGAUGUAUUUGGAUUUAGCAUGGGUUGGAUGCGUAGAUGUUUUAAAUUUUGCAAGGGACCUUUCACCCAUAUUACUGGUGUUUAUAACCCAUUAGUGCCCAAAUUUUUUUUUCUUUAAUUUAUUACCAAAAAUCCUUUUUUCAUACAACUUUGAUUCUAAAUAUACAUAAAAAAUAUUAUCACAAUAUUCUAAGAAGAAAAUACAUUUUUAGUUUGGUCCUUUUUUUUAGGACCAUGGGAAUAUGGGGUACUUUUGUUCAAAAAACAGGAUUUUUAAAAUAGAAUACUUGAUUUCAAAAAGGAAAAUAUAAAUAAAAAAGUACUUUUAUUUAUCUAUUAAUUCAAAUGAAAUGCAUAUUACUUGAAAAAAAAAGAAUAAAAAGUAAUUUUUUUCUGAACAAUCUAAAUACAGAUUACUUCAAAUGCCAUUUGUUGAAAUAUUCACCUAUAUGAAGACUAACAUCACGUUUUACACAUUGUUUUGAAACUCUUUUUUUUUUGCAAAAGGCACGUUUUCUUUGUUUCCUUCCCUCUAUCAAGAAUAUGUCCAGUAGUAGAAAAUCUAAUUUCUGGUAUUACUUUUGAAGAAAAUACCUUUGGUCAUCCUGAAUUUUUGGGAUCAGAAUCUGAGGCUAACUCCAAAUAAGCUUGUGUAACUGACCUCUUGAAAUCUAGUAAUAUCAAAGUAUUUCCAUUCACAAAACAAUAUGCAAUCCAGGAAUUAACCAUUAUAGUAUCGAGGAAAUUUGUGAAUAGACUAAAGUACCACUUCUUAGAUGUAACAGUGAUGCGAUACAUUCGGAUAAGUCAUAUAUUUGUUAUAUUCGGAUAUGAGAAAUGGCUGAGGAACAAAUAUUUCCUUUCUAUGACUGGUUGACCAUCUCUUAGCUUUCCCAAUAGGGGUGGCAGACUGAUGAUUGCUUGCAAUUGUGAAAACACUGUUGUCAUGUCAUUUAAAAAAAAAAGAGUUCUUACUUUUCUUCAAAUUUGUAGUCAUAUGAGCCACAAUUUUCCUUUUUCAUAGACCUGUCAUCCUUCAGGGUACAUCUGGAUGUUCUAUUUGAAUGCACUGUACUCGUGAUUCUGAUUCCUAAGGACUUCAUUUGUACAAAUAAGGUUAGAACUUGAGAAAAAGUUAUCAACAUAAAUUUCAUGAUCAUUGGGGUUAACCACUCUUGAACCUAGACUGUCAUCGUUCUUGGUAUUGGAAGUAAGAUUUUUUUGCUUUCCUUGAUAUAAAUCCAUUCAAAAACAAUAGCUACAACAUUCGAAAACAGCAGUGGCACAACAAAGUAUCCAUUGCUUGGAAGCAAAUAUUAAUGGCUUACCUCUUAUAAAUUGUUUUAGGGAGCUUCUUCCAUAGUAUCCUACUAUCUGUUCAUCUACAGACAGUCUCUUAGAGAAUAUUCCAAACUGCUUGAACUUCUGAUUCAGAGCAAUCAGCUAGCAGUCUAAUUUUGAAUCCUUUAUCAUCUUUGUUGUUUUCUGCAUUUUCAUUGUGAACGAAAUGAAGAAACCUUUUGAUGCUUAGAAAUUUGUUUUUUGGCAUUAUUUUUUUGAAUAAUCAGAGUUUCAAGGUUUUCAGACACACUCCAAUAAUGCUGUUCACUUGGUAGUCUGUGGUAUCCUGGAAAAAGUAGGAUUCCAAUGAAAUUUCUCUGACAGCUUGUUGACAGACUAAAAUCAUGUACAUUUUUCUGUGUGGGUUAAGUGCCAGAUUCUCUGCAAAUUUCAUUUAGUAAAUCUUUAUCACGGAAAAGUUCAAAAAUCUCAACUGGUCUCUCACCAAGUACUUUAUCUUUCAUUGAUUUCAUUCUUUCAUCUGCUCCAUCAGUUGUUGGUGAUGCAAAUUUUGAAAAUUUAGGCACAGUCUUCUUCUAAGAGAAAUCUGAAGUUUUUUUUUUUUUCUUCCUUUUGGUUGUGUUCUUCAUUAUCAUACCAAUGAAGUUCAACCCUUCCUGGCACAUCCUGCAAGAUAAAAGUCGGAGCUCUGUUCUCAUCAUAUAAAAUCUCAAUAUCAAAGUCUUUUUCAUCAGUUCAUUUACUGGUGGAGGAAUUUCAACAAUAUCACUAGGAGGCUCAUUUUCUUCUGCAUAAUUUAUUGCAUCUUGAACUGAAUAGAAUGACUUGACUGAAUGGUAGAAAGCCAUGGGAGAGUAUCUGAAAAUAAGAAUAACAAAUGAAAAAUAUACAUUUUUCACAGCUGUCUAUACAUAGAAAAUGUUCUCAGCAUAAAAAAGUUUGCCCCUGCAAACCAUUUUCUCUUUUAUGCAACAUCCAUAGAAAAUGGAAAAAAUGGAGGUCUAGUGACCAUGGUCCUUAUAUUAGGACCAAACUUUUAGAGCAUGCUAUAUUUGAGCAAAAUUACUUUCAAAGAUUUUCUUGACUUUAUAGAACAGUUAGGACAAUUAUUUAUACUAUAUAUAAAUAUGGGUUGGACAUAAGUACUACUUACCGAAAAAUUUUUGAUUGAAUAACAGAUGAAACUGAGUGUAUCCUUUCCCUCAAAAUUUUCACACUGUACAUCAGACAGUAGGUGUAAUGUUUGAAAGACACACCAGUCUUGAUGAUUAACUAAAGAUAUCUCAGAAAAAUACAGGUGUUGCAGAAGUAUGAUGGAUUAUCCUUCUAGUCCUAAAAAAAAGACCGAGUUAAAGUAAGGGAAAAAUUAUCAACAAUACUGCCAACUCUGAGUUUGGCUAAUUUGUAAUCAUUUAUAGUAAUUAUCUCAGGUGAGCAUUAAUAUAUGGGAAUAACAUAUUGUAAUGUACAUGUUUAAGGUACAUAUUUAUGUAGAGCAACUUGGUGUUCUAUCAACGUCCUGAUAAAAUAUUUUGUCACUAAGCAGACAGGUAAAUAAGCCAAGAACUUCUCUCGUCAUUCUUGACUUUUCAUUUGGCUUUUAUUAUUUUGAUUGGUUAAUAUAUAGUUUAACUCUGGGCACCAAAAAAAAAACUGUCUAAUAAGUUUAAAAUAAUGUGUAGAAAAUGAAUAUGAAAACAAAAAUUUACGUGGAGGUGGGGAGAGGACUUUUGGGAAAUUCACACAAUCCGAUUUUUCCCUCAUAACUUUCAGGAAAAUGGAUAUAUAUACCGUUCAAACAGCAUAGAUUUUGAUUAUAAAAUGGUAAAAAAAAUUACUGAAAUUUCUGGGGGAAAAUGUUUUCCAAAGGGGUGAGAAGAGGAUUUCAGAAAAUUCAUACGAUCCGAUUUUUUCCCUUAAUAUGAGGGAAAAAAAUGGAUGUGUUCUGAUGAAAUUUUACUGAAACAUCUUUCAAAUGGCAUAGAUCACAAUUAUAAGGAAAUUUGUGUGGGGGAAAAUAUAUACAUAUGAUGGCCGUCCACUUGUGACCAAGGAAGACCUUUGCUGACCUUUAGGAACAUUGUAUGCUCUAGGACUAACUUAUAUUUUGCAUUUGUGGCUCUAUUGGUGGUUAAUGAGCCCUGCUCUUGACAGGCAUGCAAGACUGCAAGCAUUGCAAACCAAGCUUUCCCUAUUCACUACUCUAGCAGUACACUUUUGAGCAGCAUGCUUAAAUUCUUCAUGAAGAAUACAUGCUAUUUCAAAGGUGUCAACCCCCUCCUUAACCUGCUUCCUCCAUCUGUGGCAAUAACAGGCAUUGUUCUCCCAGUCAGUCUUCAGCAUAUCACAAGCCUCUAAUGAGGACUUGACACAGUCCUUAAAUCACAGCCUUGGUUUCUACCAGGGUCUCUUUCCACUAACAAAUUCCCCAUAUAGCAUCUGUUUAGGGAUCCUGCUAUCCUUCAUUCUAAUAAGGUGUCCAGUCCAACGUAACUGGUGCUUGUGCACCAUUGCCUCAAUACUCAAGAUAUCAGCUUUUCUUAGGACUUGUAUGUCUGGAGUUUUUAAGGUCCAGCCAACAUUCAGAAUGUGUCUCAGACAUCUCUGAUGAAAGCGUUCAAGGACCUUUAUAUGACAUUUGUAAAGAGUUCAUGUCUCCCAUGAGUAAAGGGGUGAUGUCAGUACACAUGCACAGUACACAGCAAUUUUUGUUUGCCUUGUGAUACCAUGCUGGGACCAGAUGCGAGACUGAAGAGACCAGUAGGAAUCAGUUGCUCUCUGCAGCCUGAAAGAUAUUUCAUCAUCCAGGGAUCAAGAACGACUGAGUGUGCUGCCCAGGUAGACAAACUUGUCUACCACUUUCAGUAUUGUUCCUUCAACCAAGAUAGCUGGUUCCACUUAUGGAUUUUCUGGUGCAGGCUGGAAUAUUACAACAGUCUUUUCCAGGUUAAUUCUGAGUCCAAAUGAUUUGCAAGAAGCAGAAAUAUGAUUCAUAAGUAUUUGCAUGUCAUCCACUGUAUUAGGAACUAUAAGUCACAGACAUCUGCAUAAAGGAGGUCACAAAUAAGAGACUGGAAAACUUUUGAAUUGGCAGCAAAUCGGUGCAGAUUAAAGAGGCAGCUAGAAGAUCAAUACCGGACAUAUAUUCCCAAAGAGCUAACCUUAGCAAAAGCAUGAGUAAAAGCAGCAGCAAAGUACAAAGAAAAAAGUGUUGGGGCAAGGAUGUCACCCUGCUUGAUACCAUUCUCUACAGGAAUGGGUCCUGCCAUGCCACCACCAACAUUGACCCAAGCCUCAUUCCCAUCAUGAAUUAUAGAUACAAAGUGACCCAGACAUCCAAGUUUGCCAAAUAUUUUCUAUAGCAAGGUCCUAUUUACAGUAUCAAAGAUUAAAUCAAUGAAUACUUGGACAAGAUCCAUAUUCUGCUCAUAGCACUUCUCCGGCAUCUGUUUUGUUGUGAAAAUCAUAUCCAUUGUCCCUCUACCAGAUUGGAAACCACAUUGAGAUUCAAAUAGGACAUCAUUUACAAGACACCCAUUCAGGCGGGUAAGAAGAAUAUUUGCCAGGACCUUGUCAACAGUUGAUAGUAGAGCAAUACCUCUAGUUACCACACAUUAUUCUGGCUCCUUUUCCUCUAUAGAGAGGAAGAAUAAUUGCAUCCUUCCAGUCCUUGGGCAUUGCACCAUCCCUCCAGUCUACACUAUGUUCAUGAAGGGACUGUAAUCACUGCCAAAUCGCAAGACCUCAGCAUAAAUUCCAUCCCUUCCAGGUGCUCUACCAAGAUUCAGUUUACAUUUGCUCUCAUUACCUCAUCUAUUAAAGGCAUGGAAUUUAAGGAGCCAAUGAUAAGUUGCAUAGUAUUAAUCACUGUUUCAUCCACAACUGACUCAUGGUUUAGGAGUUCAGAGGAGUGUUCAAUCCAGCAACCUGUGAUUUCUUUUGAUUUAGCAAAUAGAGUAGAAGACUCCUUUGAAAGCAAAGGAACUGAUGCAGAGCUCUUAGACCCAUAAACUUGCUUCAUAAGAUGGUAAAGCUUCUUGCUGUCAUUUGCAUCAGCAACAGCCUGAAUAUCACGAGCAAGGUCCUCCCACCAAGUGUUGCUGCAGGAGUGAUUUUACACUGCUAUAGUGGGCAAGUGUUAGAUUUCUCUGCGCAGCUGAAAGUCCUCUGUGCAGCAAUACAUUGUGGGCUUGGCACUUUACAACCAAUAGUUGCCAUCAUUUUCAUCAGAUCAGUCUCUGUAUCUGGCAGUAAUAUAUCCCAGUGUUUCAGUAGCACAUUGAAGAACCUGGUCUCAAAAAUCUUUCCAUACUGUAGUAUUUUCAAUGCUGGACAAACAAGUCUGAAGUGCUUUCCUCAACAUAGCAUCAUAUAUCUUGUGGACAUUCAGACACCAAGGAAUGCCAACUGACCCACUUCUCUCUUUCACUCUAAUCAUCAUCUGGAACAUUACUCACGCUAAACUGACCAGAUAAAGAAAGACAGGCAAUUUUUGGUUCACCUUUUCUAGAACCUCCCCGGCCUUUGGGUGAGCAGUGCCCUCUCCAAAUGGAGCUGUUCAGACACCCAUGUAGCAACUGAAUCUUACUGCUGUCUUGGGUGACAAGGAGACGACGUUAUAUCCAGCACGGACCAGCUACAUCCAGGUCGCUGACUACAUGCUUCCAAGCCUUCUUGUCUGCAUGCUUUGCCAUCAUCCCAUUACCGCAGGACUUCCAAAUAAAAAUGAAAUAAAUAUAUACUAAAAAUAAAGAUAUAUACUGAGAAUAAGAUAAAUAUAUAUAUAAGGAAGAAAAAAGCAGCACAUAUCAAGCAGAGGUCAGCAAUGCCUGUGCAGAGUUUUAGGUCCAAUAAGACUUUCAUGACACCUCAUAGACCCUCCCCACCCUAUUGACAUUAUCCAGAGACAAGCCAGAGUGAGAUGUCUGGGGCCAGUAUACACAUGUAUGUAUAUAUGCAUAUAUUUAUAUAUUAUUUAUAUUAUAUGCAGGGUGGGGAAGCAAAAUUUACAAUGGACGUUAAGUUGUUUUUUCUCAGCAGGCACUAAGUCAAUUGUUUUGAAACCUAACAUAUAUGGGUGUCAUAAUCAUACCUAACACUAUUAUCAUUACCUUUUCAGAAACUUUUGCCCAUAUGAGUAAUCAAAAAAGCAAAAGUCAAAGAUUGUGUGAUUUUCUGAAUGCACUCAUCACAUCAAAUGAGAUUUCAAGAAUAGUUGGAGUGUCCAUAAAGACUGUUUAUAAUGUAAAGAAUAGAAUGACUAUGAGCAAAACUAUUAUGAGGAAGUCUGGAAGUGGAAGAAUCAACAAAAAAUGUAUCAAAGCUUUUAUUAAAGCUCUCAAAUCCCAAAUCCUAAAGGAUUCAACCAAAUCCAUGAGAAAAAUGGCAAUUGAACUUGAGGUAGACAACAAGACAAUUAGAAAUGCAAUAAAAUAUGAUUUGAGGUUAUAAUCUUACACAAGAACACCAAAACGCUUGUUGACAACAGCUAUGAAGGAAAAGAGAUUGGAAAGGUGCAAGAAAAUUAUUACAUGGUUCAAGAAAAAGUCCUCCAUUGUAACGAUCUUUUCAUCUGAAAAGAUCUUCACUGUCGAUGCUGUUCUGAACCGCAGAAAUGACAGGUUUAUCGCAAAAUCGACAGCUGAAGUUAAGGGGACAUUCAAAACAAAACAUCCUGCUCAAGUUAUGGCUUUUGGUGUUGUGGCUUCCGAUGGAAAGAAAAUGCUUAUAAAAUUCUACAAAGCUGAUGAAAAGAUCAAUGUUAAUAUUUACUACAAGACUCUGAGAUACCAGGUAUUGCCAUGGCUUAAAGCAAACUACCCAGAUGGCAAUUAUGUAUGGACACAGGAUGGUGCUUCAGCCCACAUAGCUUGAAAAAUACAAGAUUUCUGCAAAUCCAACUUUAGCAAUUUUUUGGAAUCAUGUUUAUGGCUGCCUUCUAGCCCUCUGGAUUUUGCUAUUUGGGGCGUUUUAGAACAUGCUACCAAUAGAACAUCACACAGCAAUGUCGACUCUCUUAAAGAUACUUUUAAAGAAGAAUGGGAGAAGUUGUCUCCCAAAUAUUUGAGGAACACUCGUGCAAGUUUCAGGAAGCGUGUGAAGGCAGUUAUUGAGAAAGAAGGGGGACACAUAGAAUAAAAACAUUUUCUAUUAUGUAAAUUUUCUUGUGGCAAAUAAAUUCUCAUGACUUUCAAUAAACUAAUUGGUCAUACACUGUCUUUCAAUCCCUGCCUCAAAACAUUGUAAAUUUUGCUUCCCCACCCUGUGUAUAUAUAUAUAUAUAUAUAUAUGUAUACCUGCAAUUUUUUGUUUUCAUAUUUGUUUUCUACACAUUUUUUUACACCUAUUAGACUUUUCUUUUUUAGUGACUGGGGUGCUAAACUAGAUCCUACGAGUUAGGGAAAAUAUUGGAUCAUGUGAAUUUUCUGACAGUCUUCUCCCCACCCCUUCGGAAAAGAUUUUCCCUACAGAUUUCUUUAUAAUCAUCAUCUAUGCCAUUUGAAUGGUAUUUUUUUUAUAGAAUUUCAUUAACAGAUAUCCAUUUUCCUGAAAGUUAUGAGGGAAAAAUCAGAUUGUGUGAAUUUUCCGAAAGCCAUCUCCCCAUCCACCCUUUCAUUUGUGCAAAUUUUUAUUUUCGUAUUCAUUUUCUACACAUUUUUUCUUACCCCUAUUAGACUGGAUGUUUUUUGUUUUGGUGACCUGGAGUUAAACUAAAUAUUAACCUUUUGGUUAUCAGCUUUGUUACACAUUCUACUAUAGACAGUAAACAAACCCGAUAUAUUAUGAUUACACUUGCACAUACAUAUGUACACACACACAUGCUUCACAUUUUCUUAACCCAACCUCAGUCUUAUGCCAUUCUAUCUUUUCUUACUUUACAGCUGUGCUAGCAGUGAACCAUUACAACUUGUUAUAGAAGACUGUUUCCACCAGAAAGUUGGUUACCAGUUAUUUAUGGAUUCUCUAUGUUUUAGCCUGUAUAACAUACAUUAACCAUAUCUGCAUUUAUUAACAUAGAAAUAGAAGUGUUUUUGCCUACAGUAUGUGUG